rnacentral:RNase_P_RNA from 1 species
AAUUUCGGGUAAUUGCGGUUAACUUUUGUUAACUGAGGAAAGUCCAUGCUCGCACAAGCUGCGACGCUUGUAGUGUUCGUGCCUGGCGAAAAAAUAAGCUGGGGUAUUUGCUUUUGCAAAUAACGGCGGGUGAAACGACUAAGGCUUCGGCUAUGUUCGAGUAACUCUGAAAAGUGCCACAGAGACGAUCUGAUUGGGAAACUAAUUAGUUGGAACGCGGUAAACCCCUCGAGCGGGCAACCCAAACUACGGUAGGGGCGCUUCACAUAUGAAAAUGAACAAAAUGUGGGGGCAGAUAUUAUCUGGAGAUAGAUGAUUACCCAAAUUUAGAUUUUCCUGAGAAUUUAUUUUGGACAAAACAUGGCUUAUAGAA